GCGAAUGGUCUAGGGGUAUGAUUUUCGCUUCGCAUUUAUCUAAAUGAGUCUGUGAAAGGUCCGGGGUUCAAAUCCCCGUUCGUCCA